ACUUCCUGGCAUCUGAGCCAAGCCAACUGCAGAAGGGGCAAGGCAGGCCCCUGGAGCAGAGAGACAAUGUGAUAGUGAGAAAGCUUGAGGAAGCAUUUGAGGG